UACGAAGGGGGCGAGCGUUGUUCGGAAUUACUGGGCGUAAAGGGCGCGCAGGCGGCUCUGAAAGUCAGAUGUGAAAGCCCCGGGCUUAACCUGGGAACUGCAUUUGAUACUCUAGAGCUUGAGUACGGGAGAGGAGAGUGGAAUUCCCAGUGUAGAGGUGAAAUUCGUAGAUAUUGGGAAGAACACCGGUGGCGAAGGCGGCCAUCUGGGACAACACUGACGCUGAAGCACGAAAGCGUGGGGAGCAAACAGG
rnacentral:rRNA from 1 species